UUGUCUUUAAUCUGACCGCGUCAAAAGUGACGCCAGUAGUCCCGACCAAGCGUGUUUAUAUAGGACGCUAAAGGAGACUUUUAGCGUCAAUAGCAACGCCAAAAACACAAGC